AUUGAACGCUGGCGGCAUGCCUUACACAUGCAAGUCAACGGCAGCACGGGAGCAAUCCUGGUGGCGGAGUGGCGAACGGGUGAGUAAUAUAUCGGAACGUGCCCAGUCGUGGGGGAUAACGUAGCGAAAGCUACGCUAAUACCGCAUACGAUCUAUGGAUGAAAGCGGGGGAUCGCAAGACCUCGCGCGAUUGGAGCGGCCGAUAUCAGAUUAGGUAGUUGGUGAGGUAAAGGCUCACCAAGCCGACGAUCUGUAGCUGGUCUGAGAGGACGACCAGCCACACUGGGACUGAGACACGGCCCAGACUCCUACGGGAGGCAGCAGUGGGGAAUUUUGGACAAUGGGCGCAAGCCUGAUCCAGCAAUGCCGCGUGCAGGAUGAAGGCCUUCGGGUUGUAAACUGCUUUUGUACGGAACGAAACGGUGAGCUCUAAUACAGUUUGCUAAUGACGGUACCGUAAGAAUAAGCACCGGCUAACUACGUG
rnacentral:rRNA from 1 species